rnacentral:rRNA from 1 species
UGCCUUAGUAGCGGCGAGUGAAGCGGCAAAAGCUCAAAUUUGAAAUCUGGCUCUUUCAGAGUCCGAGUUGUAAUUUGAAGAAGGUAUCUUUGGGUCUGGCUCUUGUCUAUGUUUCUUGGAACAGAACGUCACAGAGGGUGAGAAUCCCGUGCGAUGAGAUGAUCCAGGCCUAUGUAAAGUUCCUUCGAAGAGUCGAGUUGUUUGGGAAUGCAGCUCUAAGUGGGUGGUAAAUUCCAUCUAAAGCUAAAUAUUGGCGAGAGACCGAUAGCGAACAAGUACAGUGAUGGAAAGAUGAAAAGAACUUUGAAAAGAGAGUGAAAAAGUACGUGAAAUUGUUGAAAGGGAAGGGCUUGAGAUCAGACUUGGUAUUUUGUAUGUUACUUCUUCGGGGGUGGCCUCUACAGUUUAUCGGGCCAGCAUCAGUUUGGGCGGUAGGAGAAUUGCGUUGGAAUGUGGCACGGCUUCGGUUGUGUGUUAUAGCCUUCGUCGAUACUGCCAGCCUAGACUGAGGACUGCGGUUUAUACCUAGGAUGUUGGCAU